AUAUAAACUCACCUACAUUUGAACAGUUUAUGAGUAAUUUAAUUGUGAUGAGCAACUCAGUGAAUCAAAUUUAAUUCAGUUAAAUUCAAGACCAUUAUCAUUUGUUGGGUGAAAAUUGAUCAUCAAUCUAUUACGAAAAUCAGUUUAAACUUUGAAGUUGAUUAAGCAAUUGUACUUGGUGAACUUUAAUUGUAACAAUUAGCUGAAUAUAAAUUGUGAUUAACCACUGAUCUAAAUCCAUCGAUCUUAAUCAUUCAAUCAACAAUGUCACCAAAAAUGUCAAAGAUUAAUAUAUUUACUUGUUAUCUUUUAAUUACUUUUUUGAUUGUUGUCUCAUUUACUGAUCACCAUUCAUCAGCUCAAGUAAUGAGGAUCUGUGAAAAUGGCGACUGCCUCCAAUUGGCUCGAAGAACCUCAUUAUCGAAACGAUGAUCUCAAUGGCAUUUUCAAUUUAAUGAGAUACUUAAAACAAGGCAGAGUAAUUGGAAGUAAUUUCAAUUCACCUUUCAUUGGGAAACGGAGUGUAAUUAACACGGAUAAAGAAUGACAGAUAAGUUUGAACAAUUAACUAAUCAUAAAAAUUGAUUUUUCAUUCUAAUUUUCGUUUCUUUGGUUUAAUCAUAAUAUUAUUUGACAAUUAAAUCUUUAAAUUGAAUAACGAUGAAAAGUAACAAUUACUUAUCAAUAGUUGUGAUCAUUUCUCUUGCAAGUUAAUUGUUGUUUAGAUUUAUUUCCACUAAUUAAUUUUCUUUAUCAAACAAUUUAAUGACUCUAAUGAUUGAGAAAAUAAAAGAUCGUUGUAAUUGUAAAACAUUUAAAAUCUCUCGAAAAUUAAAUGAUUAAAACUUGA